rnacentral:rRNA from 1 species
UUUUAUUUGAGAGUUUGAUCCUGGCUCAGGAUGAACGCUGGCGGCGUGCCUAACACAUGCAAGUUGAGCGAUUUACUUCGGUAAAGAGCAGCGGACGGGUGAGUAACGCGUGGGUAACCUACCCUGUACACACGGAUAACAUACCGAAAGGUAUGCUAAUACGGGAUAAUAUAUUUGAGAGGCAUCUCUUAA